rnacentral:rRNA from 1 species
CCACCUGAUCCCAUCCCGAACUCAGAAGUGAAAGUACUCAGCGCCGAUGGUAGUGUGGGGUCUCCCCAUGUGAGAGUAGGACAUUGUCAGGC